UACGUAGGGUGCAAGCGUUGUCCGGAAUUAUUGGGCGUAAAGAGCUCGUAGGCGGUUCGUCGCGUCGGCUGUGAAAUCCCGAGGCUCAACCUCGGGUCUGCAGUCGAUACGGGCGGACUGGAGUUCGGCAGGGGAGACGUGGAAUUCCUGGUGUAGCGGUGAAAUGCGCAGAUAUCAGGAGGAACACCAGUGGCGAAGGCGGCGACCUGGGCCAAGUACUGACGCUGAGGUGCGAAAGCGUGGGGAGCAAACAGGA
rnacentral:rRNA from 1 species